GUAAUCACAGCUAUUCGGGAGGCUGAGAUAGGAAAAUUGCUUGAACCCGGGAGGUGGAGGUUGCAGUGAGCCAAGAUCGUGGCCACUGCACUCUAGCCUGGUCAACAGAGCAAGACUCCAUCUCAAAAAAAAAAAAAAAAUCUCCUCUCCAGUAUUAGUCAUUUCUUGUUUCUGGCUCUGAGAGAAGCAACAUAUAACAUACCUGUUAAAAUUCAUAAGACAUUUGUGGGUAGUUAUUAAUCUUUUACCAAUUGUAAAUGUGGAUACUUAUCUUACCGUUUUUGCUUUUAGGUCUGGUAACAGUGAACACCAUCAAGCACAUCUACGGUAAUUACUAUGUGCUGGACCCUCUUCUAAAUGCUUCGAGUAUUUUAAUUAAUUUAAUCUUCACAGCAAAACAGAUUUAACAAUGUACAGACCCUGGAGUUUCUCUUUAUACAUCGUAUAUAGUACCUGCUUCUGGUUCUACCAUCUGAGAAAUGGAUCAGCCCAUGCCAGAAAAGUGUUGCUAAAUCAUUUGAACUGUAAAUUUCAAUUCAUCGUAUCCACUUUACUUUGCUGACAGAAGUAACAUUGAGUAAGUUUCAUCAACUCAAUUUUACUAAGUUUUAUGUCAUCCUUGUUUAAAUAUUUUAAACAACAUAUGUAAUCAGAAUACCUCUGGACUGUUUGAGGCAAUAGAUACAUUUUCCAAUUGUGCAUUAUAUUUUUACUUAUUUUUAUUUGUAUUAUAAAUUGACAAAGUAUAAAUGUAUAUAUGUUUAUAUGAGUAUAAAAUGAUGAUGAUAUGAAUGUUAAUUAACAUAUUCUUCAUCUCAAAUGCUUAAUACUUUUUGUGGUGAGAACAUGUGGAUUUUACUCAGUGAUUGUGAAAUACGCUAUAUAUAAUUAAUUGCUAUAUUCACCAUGCUGUGCAAUAUAUCUCAAAGUAAACAAAAAUCUUAUUCCUCCUGUUUAAUUGAGGCUUUCUUUCCUUUGAUCAUCAUUUCUUGAUCCCUGCUCCAACACCCUACCCUCUGAUAAUCACCAUUCUAUUCUCUGGUUCUUUGAGUUACAUUAUAUUUUGAGUGUUACUCAUGAACACUAAACAAUGUGCAAUGAUACAAUGCUGUUCAUCUUAUAUUCUGCUUAGUGACUUCAAGGAAAAAUCACAACUCUUACUUUUAAGCUCUAGAGAGAGAUUUAAAACAAACUUCAUUUAUUAAUAAAUACUUGCAAUACCAUAUUGGUUUUUCCUGUGUAAUAAAAGAGGCAUCAGCUCUUGGGUGACAUCAUUGACAACUGUUUUUCUUCUGAUAUACCCACAGGAUAUUGACUGUGAUAAUUAUCUUCUCAACUUGGAUGGUAUUCUCAUUUUUGUCAAAAGUUUCUAUGAGCCCAGUAGUAGCAACAGAUAAUUAAUGUCUAUGCAACUCUGCAUGAAUGACUGAUAAGAACUAGUGGAAGACUGGAUUCAUUUCUGAAAGAAACACACAAAUAUUUAAAACUCACUGAAUACACACAUUUAAACUGACCAUUGCCAAGAACAAUUUACAGGGAAACAAUCUUCGCUUGAUGGUAGCUGAUAUAUGUCUUGAGUCUUUCAUCAACAAAAUGAUUUUUUUGGCAACUUUAAUGUAACAUUUGAUUAAUUAAAGGUAGGAUGAGGAUCAUACCAAUGAAAGACAGUUAUCAGUGAGAAAAACCACAGUUCUUAACAUCUAAAUAUAUUACCUUCAUUAUGCUAGUGUGGCUAUUGCCUCAACGUUUUUAUGAAAAUUAACAGUUAUUUCAGAAAAAAAAUACCUGAAAAUUCAAGGUGAUAGAUAACAUGGUUUACUGAAAAAACAAAACAAAACAUCAAAAACCAAUAUGUAGACAUCUGAAGAAGGUGGAAGGGAAAGGAGAGCUUAUAUAUUUAAUAAAACUAAUUUCUAUAUUAGUGUAAGAAAUUAAAUCAUAUUGUACAUCCCAACCAAAUUUUAAACAAAGCUAGCAUGUGACAUGCCAUGUUUUGCUCAAAUACUAUUUAACUAGUGUGGCCUUCUCAACCAUAAUAAUUAAAAUGCCUCCUCCUGACUAAAAGUUCUCUUUUCUUUUUUGCCUACAUUACUUUUAUAACAUGUAUCACCAUGUGAAAUCUUUCAUGCUUUAAUUGCUUAUUUAUUUACUGUUUGCCUCCCCUCCUCCUCACACCCACACUGACAAGGUGAAAGGACAAGGGUUUCAUCUUUGUUCACUAAUGUAUCUACAAGGCUAAGAACAAAUCUUGGCACAAAUAGGAUUCAAUAAAUAUCUGUUAAAAUAAUAACUCCACUAUUUAGAUGUAUAAUUAGAAAUUAAAUUAAUGUUACUGAAUCAGAAAUAAAUGUACACAAUAAAAG
rnacentral:lncRNA from 1 species